UGCAGUCGAGCGGUAGCACAGAGAGCUUGCUCUCGGGUGACGAGCGGCGGACGGGUGAGUAAUGUCUGGGAAACUGCCUGAUGGAGGGGGAUAACUACUGGAAACGGUAGCUAAUACCGCAUAACGUCGCAAGACCAAAGUGGGGGACCUUCGGGCCUCAUGCCAUCAGAUGUGCCCAGAUGGGAUUAGCUAGUAGGUGGGGUAACGGCUCACCUAGGCGACGAUCCCUAGCUGGUCUGAGAGGAUGACCAGCCACACUGGAACUGAGACACGGUCCAGACUCCUACGGGAGGCAGCAGUGGGGAAUAUUGCACAAUGGGCGCAAGCCUGAUGCAGCCAUGCCGCGUGUGUGAAGAAGGCCUUCGGGUUGUAAAGCACUUUCAGCGGGGAGGAAGGCGUUGAGGUUAAUAACCUUGGCGAUUGACGUUACCCGCAGAAGAAGCACCGGCUAACUCCGUGCCAGCAGCCGCGGUAAUACGGAGGGUGCAAGCGUUAAUCGGAAUUACUGGGCGUAAAGCGCACGCAGGCGGUCUGUCAAGUCGGAUGUGAAAUCCCCGGGCUCAACCUGGGAACUGCAUUCGAAACUGGCAGGCUAGAGUCUUGUAGAGGGGGGUAGAAUUCCAGGUGUAGCGGUGAAAUGCGUAGAGAUCUGGAGGAAUACCGGUGGCGAAGGCGGCCCCCUGGACAAAGACUGACGCUCAGGUGCGAAAGCGUGGGGAGCAAACAGGAUUAGAUACCCUGGUAGUCCACGCCGUAAACGAUGUCGAUUUGGAGGUUGUGCCCUUGAGGCGUGGCUUCCGGAGCUAACGCGUUAAAUCGACCGCCUGGGGAGUACGGCCGCAAGGUUAAAACUCAAAUGAAUUGACGGGGGCCCGCACAAGCGGUGG
rnacentral:rRNA from 1 species